UUUUUUUUUUUUUUUAAUAAUAUUUCAGUCAUGACAUUCAGUAAAAAUACAUCAGAUUACUUUUGCCCUGAAUAAGGAGGGUGCUUCAUUGGACUCAACAUGUUGGUGUUUGUAGUAUUAAGGAAGUACCUUGAAGCUGAGAUUUCGUCUGUAUCAUCCUGCAGACUGAGUGGCAAUAAAGCCCUCUGUUUUCAGUGCUUCUAAAUAAGUCUCCUGAGCUAUGGGCACUAGCAACCUGCCUGACCCAGCUCACUCCUCAGUGCUGAGCAAGUUUGAUAUGGCUUCAGUGGUCCUCAAGUAUUUAAAACUCCUUUGGCAACUGCUUCCUCCCCUCUACAAACAAGCCCUGCUAGGACAGACCUCCCUGGUUUGGAUGUGCAGGAGUCUGUGAGAAAUUCUCCAGGAACUGCAGGUUUCCAGAGGCCACAGCAGGAUUAGGUUCCCAGGUGACAUUCAGAAACCGGAAGGUCUUGAGCUGAUGAAGAGGACAGUUCCCUGAAGGCAUUUUUGUGAGUCCCCAUUCACUUGCAUUAAAGCUGCAGGUUUUUCUUCCCUAGUAGGAAAACAAGUGAUGGGGUUCAAUUUUCUUGUGUUUCUUUGGUUAAUCUCUCUUUCUUUACGUCUAGUGAUAUAUUUACUUUUAAUUUUUAUAGCAUUUAAGCAGUAAGGUGUAAAAGACAUUUAGCAAGUUCAUUGUGUGCAGCUCUUGUUUAAUUCAUGCAUUGAGGCUUUUGGUUUGUUUUCAGCUUGUCAUUGUGUUCCCAUUGCUGCAGUUCCAAAUGGAUACUGUUCUUACCAUACACCUGUGUUUUCCAAAUAACACUCUUAGGUUAUCGUACUGCUCAAAUAUGUAGCGUAUUGUUUUAACUGACUGGAACACUGAUGCAUAAUCAUGUUAGUUAAUAGAGCAGUAGCUAUUGCUGUAUCCCACUGCACAGCAUGUGGUGAGGUACAGGUGAGGAACACUCCUAUGUGAAAUAUGAAUAUUAGAACCAAAGUUGUGAAAUGUGUCUUUUAAUGUAUGGGAUAAUUUUUAAGGCCAAAUCUGUGGAAGGCUUUUAUAGUCACUAACUCUCAGUUUUACAAAUAUAAAAACAACCAAACAACAAAAACCCAACAA
rnacentral:lncRNA from 1 species